UUAAACACGUGGCUCAGUUGGCAGAGCAUGAGAUUCUGAAUCUCAGGGUUGUGGGUUUGAGUCCCACUCUGGGCAAAA